AUCUCUUCUCAACCUUUUGGCUAAGAUCAAAUGUAGUGUCUCUUCUUAUUAGUUUAAUAUCUGAUACCGCCUCUAUUUGAGGACUCCAUAUUAAAUGGAGUUUUGGAAUUGGAUUAAAAAAACAAUUAAAGAUAUUCAAACAAUUGCAUGUUCGGUUUGAUGCAAACAGCU
rnacentral:snRNA from 1 species